UAAUACAUGCAAGUCGAGCGCGCCCUUCGGGGUGAGCGGCGGACGGGUGAGUAACGCGUGGGAAUAUGCCCUUCUCUAAGGAAUAGCCUCUGGAAACGGAGAGUAAUACCUUAUACGCCCUUUGGGGGAAAGAUUUAUCGGAGAAGGAUUAGCCCGCGUUAGAUUAGGUAGUUGGUGGGGUAAUGGCCUACCAAGCCUACGAUCUAUAGCUGGUUUGAGAGGAUGAUCAGCCACACUGGGACUGAGACACGGCCCAGACUCCUACGGGAGGCAGCAGUAGGGAAUCUUAGACAAUGGGGGCAACCCUGAUCUAGCCAUGCCGCGUGUGUGAUGAAGGCCCUAGGGUCGUAAAGCACUUUCGCCAGAGAUGAUAAUGACAGUAUCUGGUAAAGAAACCCCGGCUAACUCCGUGCCAGCAGCCGCGGUAAUACGGAGGGGGUUAGCGUUGUUCGGAAUUACUGGGCGUAAAGCGCACGUAGGCGGAUUAGUAAGUUAGAGGUGAAAUCCCAGGGCUCAACCCUGGAACUGCCUUUAAUACUGCUAGUCUUGAGUUCGAGAGAGGUAAGUGGAAUUCCGAGUGUAGAGGUGAAAUUC
rnacentral:rRNA from 1 species